rnacentral:siRNA from 1 species
GACAGCGUGAGCACUGAUUUGGU